rnacentral:tRNA from 1 species
AAUGGUAUGCCUGAAGAUAGGAUUAUUUUGAUAGAAUAGGCUACGUAGAAAAACUACUACCAUUG